CUUCUUCUUUUCUUAUUUGGGGAAAAUGUAUAGAUUACAUAAGAAUGAUAGGGAAAACUUAACAUUCAUUUAUUGAUUUUCACUAUAUUUUCUCAUUUCAGAAUUCAAACUUAAAAAGUUGCAAUAAGUAUUUGAUGUAACAAACAGUUUCGAUAAAAGGAAGUCUUUUUCACAUUUGUAUAUUAUAGACAUAUUUUCCCUUUGAUGUUUGGCGCAUGCGCAUAAUUGUACCUUUCUGGUGCUGUUCUUAGCUGAUCGGAUUUAUCUAUGACGUCAGUGGAUUAGCGUCACAGGAAUUUCCAUUUCCUCCUAUAAUCUUUUGAUGUCGAAGUCAGCCAUAUUGUGACUUUCUGAAAGCUGCCGAUAUUAAUUGAGAUUGCUGAUAGCGAAGAUUUGUGAGUACUUUGAAAGAGUGAUUAUUUGAUUCUAAAGUAAUAUCUUUAGUUAUUUAAUAUAUUUUUCUACUAGUUGACCUCAAAAUUUCAUCUGAGUAGGUCUAUUUUCGAAUCCUCUGAUCUAAGCCUAACUUCGAUAUUUAGCUGAUUUGAACUUUAUUAUUUUCUUGGAGCUAUAUCAGUAUUUAACCUAAAGUGAUAGCCUAAAAAUCACUUAAUAGUUUGUAAUUGAAGUCUGCUUAGUAAUUUCUUAUAUUUUUACUAUGUGCAGAAGCAACAUGCAAACCGACGAACUCCUUGAUAUGUUAUCUAGUGUUUCUAGAAAGCAGCUCAGAGUUCGGGACAAUCUACGAGUUGAAGUGCUGUUAAAAUCUACACACAAGCUGCUAGACAGAGAAUUGAGAGAGAAACAACAGUCGAGGAAACGAAAAUGGGAUGAGUUGAAGCUGGGUCUAUGUCUUGCUAAGAAAUUGAAGCUGGAACCAGAUUCCCGUAUGGAGAUAGAUGACGAUACCUGCGAAGAACUUUUGGGUCUGAAAGAUUUUUUUAACAGUUUAAAAGCUGUUUCUACCUCGUCUAGUUAAUAAUAUGAACUUUAGUAUUGUAAAUAAGAUUAUAUUUGUCAUAUGUAAAUAUUCAUCAUUAUAAUGUGGGUUGUUAGCAACUCAUCAUCUGUUAUAUAUUCAUCUGUUUCUUUUUACAGCAAGAAUUAUAUUAAUCUCAAUAACUGUGAUAUUCUGUGGUUACCCGUCGACUGAAUCGAUUCAUUGUGAAAGGAGACAACAUGGUAAAACUGCCAUUAUUAUUGCCACUAAUGUAAAUAAAUUAUUUAUUUCAAAUUCUAUAUUUUGUCUUUUCUCUUACUGUAAUUAUUACUUGUUAUCUUAUUUCUUUCUCUUGAUCUCUUUAGCUAAUUUAUAUUUGAUGCUUGCCUUAAAUAAGACUACCGUGAUUCAAUGUCUAUUUCUAAGAUGAUAUAGUAAUACCUGAUUUGUUUGGAAGUGGAGUUAGAUUGAAAGAGCACCAGCGUGUAAGAAAUUUAGAUUCGUACAUUUUGAAUUUUUCCACUUAUUGACUCCUUUCAACUAAGUGGCUUGUUUUUGUUUAUUUCACAUUCAGUGCUAUACAAGGAGAGUUUAAUAUGAAUUUUGAUGCUUACAAGAUCUUAAAGUCUAAAUUUUAUAUCACAUACUUUAAAUAGAAUGUUUGUUUCAGUUAUUUUAAGUUGAUUUCUAAUCUAAGGUGUGCAUUUUAAUGAGAUUUUUAUGAAGAAUGAUAUUAUUUUAAACUUAAAGUUUUAUUUGCUUUUGAGACAAUUUGGACUUUUUUCUAAAGUCUGACAUUGAUAUGACAGCCAAAUUUAUAGUUUUGGUUAAAUUAAAUUUAAAUUAUUGUUGCUUUUCAAAUUUAUAUUACUGAGUAUUGAAUUAAUUGGAAUCUAAUUAUGAUCCUAUUAAUUUCACUUUCAAUUUUUUUUUUGUAAUGCAUGCUUUAUAAUUACUCAUUAUUGCUUUACUGUAAGGCCACUUGUGAAUUAUUGUUUAAAACUCUUUAGUGGAAGAUUAUAAUCCAUCUUCCAAGUCUGCUGUGUGCCGAGAUUCCUCUGUUUUGGGACAAGUCUUAAUGAAAGGAGCUGUCUUGUUCAAACAUCACUGGGAAGGGAAGAUGAAUACAAUGGUGGAAUUAAGUUAUAGUCAAGGUUCACGCAAGUGCUGAUGGAUGCACUCUGCAAGCUUGGAUUUGUAACAGCAUUUACAUCAGUAGACCAUUUUUAAUUGAAGUGGGAAUUUCAAUGAAGUCCACAGCGGAUUGGCCAUUUCUGGCAAUUGUUUCGUAUGGCAGUUCAUUCAGGAGGUAAAAGAAUUUAAUUACUGUGAGAUAAGAUAAUAAAUAUAUAUAUGUGUACUUAAGAUAUGUGCAUGUUAAACUUCUGCCUUAAGAUUUUUUUUUUAAAUUUACAGGCAAAAGUAGUUUACAUAUCUAUGCUAAUACUUUUAUGAUUUUGUUGCUAAGAUGUUCUUUUAAGAAAAUAUUCACAAGUUUCUUCGCAUUUGUUGAAGAAAUUUUUAAAAAAAAUUGGUGAUAAAAUGUCUGCUGAUUGCCAAAAGGCUUCUCUUAUUCCUCAACAGAUGGUGCUAUUCACAGUGCUGCAGUAUGACGAGUGUUAAUAGUUUGAGUAAUGAUACAUAAUAUUUUUAAAAAAUCUUGAUUAAGAUUUACAUAUUUUCCCUAAAUGUAAGUGCUUAUAUUUCCAAUUUUGAGUUUCUCUUUUAGACUUACAUGGUUAUGCACGACGUAUCAAUGUUGCUAUGAAAAUCUCCGAUUUUUAUUCGCUCAAUGUUGGCAGAUGUAUAUUGCAUAUUUAGUAAUUAAAAUGCAUUUUUUUUUUAAAUUGCAUUUAGGAACAAAUUAAAGGUUAAUUGGAAUGUUAUGAUCAUCUAUUUUAAGCCAAGUCUUAUAAAAAUGUUGGCGCACAAGGUCUAAAAACAAUAAUUUUAAUCAUUAUUUAAUAAAACUUUUGAAGUGAGUUACAAAUAAAAUGAUUAAAAGAAUGCUAUGACUUACAUGGAAAAUAUGUAUUAAAUACAAAGCAAAAUUAGCUAUGGUUAUCUUCUGUAAAUUAGGAGUGUAUAUUUUAUGGACAAACAAAAUGAGAAGUGAAAAUUUUUAAAUGUGUCACAUUGGGGUACCUAAGUACCACAAACAUUUUAAAAGUUUGUGUUUAUAUAUUUUUAUGUUGAAGAAUAUCUCAUUUUUUACCGUGUUAAAAUUUCAUACUUUUUGACAUAGCAUACAGAUUUUAAUAUACUUGGUAUAAUAAAAUUCCUUUUUAAAGAGUAAGAAACAAUUUUUAGGAUAACCGUGUGUAAAUAUUGUAUUUAAUAGUUUUGUUAAUGCUGUUCUAUAUCGUGCAUCUGUAUUUGUUUAAUUUAAAAUAUUAGAUUUUUCAUUCAUUUUAUUAGUGCAAAUUAUGCAUUAAUCAGUAAAUGGCACAAAAUAAAAGUUAGUUGAUAAUUCGGGCAUAUUUAAAUUGAGCUGAAAGAGUCUUAAGGAGAAAAAAAUUUUAAAUUUAGCCUUGUGUGUAAGUGUACAUGACAGAUUCAACCUCAUUAUGUUUAAUAAAAAUGUUCCUCCUUGAACUAAGUUGAAAUAAAA